GACGAACCGUGCGAACGUUGUUCGGAUUCACUGGGCUUAAAGGGCGCGUAGGCGGCUUGCCAAGUCAGGGGUGAAAUCCCGGGGCUCAACCCCGGAACUGCACUGGAUACUGCCAUGCUUGAGUACUGGAGAGGAGAUUGGAAUUUACGGUGUAGCAGUGAAAUGCGUAGAUAUCGUAAGGAAGACCAGUGGCGAAGGCGAAUCUCUGGACAGUUACUGACACUGAGGCACGAAGGCCAGGGGAGCAAACGGG
rnacentral:rRNA from 1 species